rnacentral:lncRNA from 1 species
CCGCGCCGCCCAUGGUCCUAUCCACGCCGCGUCGGGAGGAAGCAGAGAAGCGUCGGCGAGCAGGUCGUCGGCCGGCCGAUGGAGGCAGCGACGAUCCCGAGUCGAAGGGGAAGCAAUAGCGGUGGCCUUGGGCCUUGGAUCCCGGUGGCGAGGUCGCGCUCGGCCAUCGAGCCCACCCCCAUGGCGCCCCGGCCAUCGAUGGCCGGCCCCGAGUUCUCCUACGCGUUCGCAAUCGUCGCCGAUCCAAUCUGUACUCUGAUGAGGUAG